UACAGAGGUCUCAAGCGUUGUUCGGAUUCAUUGGGCGUAAAGGGUGCGUAGGCGGCGCGGUAAGUCGGGUGUGAAAUCUCGGGGCUUAACUCCGAAACUGCAUUCGAUACUGCCGUGCUUGAGGACUGGAGAGGAGACUGGAAUUUACGGUGUAGCGGUGAAAUGCGUAGAUAUCGUUAGGAAGACCAGUGGCGAAGGCGGGUCUCUGGACAGUUCCUGACGCUGAGGCACGAAGGCCAGGGGA
rnacentral:rRNA from 1 species